AGUCCCGUGGGGUAGCGGUCAAUCCUGUUGGCCUUUGGAGCCGAAGACUCCGGUUCGAAUCCGGACGGGACUA
rnacentral:tRNA from 1 species